rnacentral:rRNA from 1 species
GGGGUAAGCAUGGGGGCACCCUGACCGAGCACGCCGCGUGCAGGAAGACGGCCUUCGGAUUGUAAACUGCUUUUCUGUGGGAAGAGAACGGACGGUACCACAAGAAGAAGCCCCGGCUAACUACGUGCCAACAGCCGCGGUAAUACGUAGGGGGCGAGCGUUGUCCGGAGUUACUGGGCGUAAAGCGCACGCAGGCGGUCGGGCAAGUUUGGGGUGACAGUGAUCGGCUUAACUGACCAAGUGCCUCAGAGACUGCCCCGACUUGAGGGCCAUAGAGGGACACGGAACUCCAGGUGUAUUGGUGAAAUGCGUAGAUAUCUGGAAAAACACCAAAGGCGAACGCAGUGUCCUGGGUGGUACCUGACGCUCACGUGCGAAAGACUAGGGGAGCGAACGGGAUUAGAUACCCCGGUAGUCCUAGCCGUAAACGAUGACCACUAAAUGUGCGGGGUAUCGACCCCCUGCGUGUCGGAGCAAACGCGAUAAGUGGUCCGCCUGGGGAGUACGGUCGCAAGAU